UGGGGACAUCGAGUGUAAACCCAAUAGAGACUGGGGAUGAGCCGAUGGUGGGCGAAUUGCUGCAGCUAGCAUACGUCAAUAGCCUCAGAGCCACUUCAGACCCCUUCUCUUCUUUAGGCCAAGCCCAAUCUUCUCCUGAACUAUCGAACGGGUCGGCGAGACCUAAGGCAGACCCUACCUUGCUUGGAGGUGAAGGGGGGUUCGCCA
rnacentral:lncRNA from 1 species